GUUUGUGGGAGUGCUUGGAGUUCUGAGUUGCCGAUCAGUGUCCGUGGGUUUUAGGGAUUUUUCAUACGUUUUGUGCGAUUUUGGGUUCCUGUUGAGAAUCUCUCACAGCGCAUUACCUUCAAAUAGAGGUGAGGAUCUGCAGACAAAGUGCUUGCUCGAGCUCUAUGGUCCAAAGGUAAACUAGAUACACUAAUCUAUGACAAUUGCUUAAAUUAUUUAGAUCCCUAUAGUUGUAAAAUGAAGGUAAGGCAGCAUUUGGUUGUGCUUCCUUAAAUGUUGCAUCAAAUUCUUGUGUGCU